AGCAUCGGUGGUCCGAUGUGCGGGCUUCAAACCCGUAGCUGACGAGAGUCAGAGUGGUUCGAUUCCAC